GGGCUGUGGAGGACCGGCGGAGGUGGAGCUUUGGGCAGUGCAAGGCGGGGGCGGUGUUGGUAAGUUCUUCUUAUUCCUCUUCGUUCUAAGAUGCCCCUGCAGGCUAGGGUUCCCGGCGGGCGGCGGCCGCCCCUACUACUCUCGCCCUCGCGACCACCCACCAAUGGAGUCCACCAUGGAGAAUGCCCAGUUGCCCACGUAGUGGGAGCGCCAAGCUGUCUGGAACCGGCGCGAUUACUAGGGAGAGUGGUGGUGGCGGCAUGGAGGUGGUGCCGUGGGGGACAGCCGCCGUUGCUGGGGCAGAUGUAGUAGUGGACAUCGGCGUCGGCGCGUCGCGGAUCUGCUGCGUGAAGGCUACUGAGGGGACGGCCUGGGAGAGCAAGGUGCGCAUGUAAGGACGUCUGGGACCAGCCCUGUGGAUCAACAUGGUGUGCAUGAGCGAUGAUGCUUCCUUGGUCCCUCCACCAUGUCAAGGAGGCCUACAUGUGCGGCUUCUGAACCAGCCAUAAAUAUGUUGAGGCUAGGAAUAUUCAGCUAGGAAGAUGGGAGUAGAAGAGGAGCAACGCGAGAUGGCUUGUGCAACAUGAAUAGAGCUGCCGCUCCAAACAGAGAGAACAAGCUUGUGAAUUUCAGGCGUUGUAUAUCUCUCCAAACCGCAGGUGCGGUACUUCUAUCUCCCUGUAAUUUUUAUGUGCCUGGAUUUACAGAACCUUGAGAGAGCGCUAGGCAAUGGACUGAAUCCUCUGUACAUACUUAACUCACGACACUCAGGUCGGUGUCACUGGUUGUACAUGUUUGCAUCCACCGUGCGGGUGGCCACCACCACAAACUACUGUGGAACCUGGACCCUUGGGAUGUGGCCUCUCUUGCGAGUCAGGAAGAGAUGGUAGAAUAGAAACGUAAGGAGAUGGACUGUCGAACAAGAAAGUAAUUUCCGCUACCUAACAGGAAUGAGCAAAUUGAAUUGAUCUCGAAGGCUUUUUUUUUGUAUUCUCAUGAUGAUUCUACGAGGGGUCGGUUAUACAUCUGUGGCGCGCUAGCAAGUGCUAAAUAAGUCUAUCGUGUAUUAAUUCAGUUGUGAUUUCAAAGUUUCAUGCUACAUAGCUUUUAAAUUGGCAUUCUCUUAGUUCAGUUUGAGUGGCAGUAUAAAAAGUUGAUCCGCCUUGCCAAGGACAAAAAGUCGAGCUCUUUAUUGAUGCCUCUUGUGUGUAUCCUUUUUUUAGUAUGAUUCUAGACUUAAAUAUUCCUUUUCUAACUACAACUGUUUACUUAAAGGAUUGCAUGCCACAAGGACUUCAAUAGUUGCAGUUAUCCUAUUGAUAGUCUUCACCAAUGCCCAUGCUAUCAACAUGUAUGGUUGCAUACCUUACAUUUUUCUAUUUGGAAGGGCUAUGGACCACAAUCAAUUGAAGAUAAACGGAGGCUAUGUAUGUUGUUGUGAAGCCUAAAUUUUAAUUCUGUUGUUUAGUCUCCAAGCCCUAUACACCAAAUACUAAGAACUUCGAUAGUGGGAAUUCUGCAGAUGGUAUGUUCUGAACUUAUAGGUGAACUUGGAGAUGUUCCUAUGGAUCUCGAUUAUAUGAAAUGUUUCCUUCGUUGGCAUUUCAUGAGUUAAUGACUUUCGUACUUUUCAUGCGUUCUAAUGUCUUCAUGUUUUCCAUCUCAACUUACUGCUUUUC